UGGCGACCGGCGCACGGGUGAGUAACGCGUAUCCAACCUGCCUGUUACCACGGCACAGCCCGUCGAAAGGCGGAUUAAUGCCGUAUGUGGUCUUGAGAGGGCAUCUGAUCAUGACUAAAGGUUCGGCGGUAACGGAUGGGGAUGCGUCCGAUUAGCUAGACGGCGGGGUAACGGCCCACCGUGGCUACGAUCGGUAGGGGUUCUGAGAGGAAGGUCCCCCACACUGGAACUGAGACACGGUCCAGACUCC
rnacentral:rRNA from 1 species